rnacentral:piRNA from 1 species
UCACCCAGGGAAGUUGGUAAAAACAGAAGU